rnacentral:lncRNA from 1 species
UUUUUUUUUUUUUUCUUUUUUCUUUUUAGGGCCGCAUCCACAGCAUAUGGACGUUCCCAGGCUAGGGGUCAAAUCCAAGCUACAGCUGCCAGCCUACGUCAUAGCCACAGCAAUACGGGAUCCGAGCCACGUCUGUGACCCACACCACAGUUCACAGCAGCACCGGAUCCUUAACCCACUGAGCGAGCCAGGGAUCGAACCUGCAUCCUGGUGGAUACGAGUCAGAUUCGUUUCUGCUGUGCCACCAUGGGAACUCCCCCAGAUGAUUUUUAAUUCAGAAAUCAUUGGGUCAUGUAUGUAGGCAAUUUCUAAUGUCAAAGAAAGAUUAUGAAUCUGAAAAUAGAAAUUAUGAGGGAGUCUAAGUAAAUGUAACAUUGUAGCAUGUUGAUAUAAUGUGUAAUUUUAUGUUUAAACCUAACUGCUGCUGAGAGGAUUUUUCCUUUCUUAAUCCACCUUCCUCUGAACUUCUCAAGAGCAAAUGGUUAUGAUAUAGUGAAAGGUUAUGUCCUUAGACCUAUGACCUCAGUCUUUGUGCUUAAUACCAUGCUUGAUGAAAGUGCUGUUUUGUUCCCAUUUUUGCACUUUUUGACACUGUUCCAUUGGAAACUUGAGUACAAUUUUAGGAAAGAGUUAAGACCAAUUUGACUUCCUCUUCCUCACAUGGAGCUGUGUUUGUUGAGUGUGAUACGUAGUCUUAGAAGAUUCAUUAAAUAAUGUGGUUAUAAUGUAUAUAACAAUGUAGCCACUAAAAAUGAGGAGGCCUGAUUUCCUAUAAGGCAGGAUUUCUCAACCUUGGCAUCUUCGACCUUUGAAUUUGAAGCUCGUUUGUUGUAGUGGGAGUGUCCUGCCCAUUGUGGGAUGUUCGGGAGCAUCCUGGGCCUCUAUCCCAUAGAUGCUACUAGCAGCCUAUCCCAGUGGUGACCACAAACAGUAUCUAAGGCACAUACCAAAGUUCCCUUUAGACAAAAUUGACCUCAGCUGAGAAUCAUGGCUGUAAUAGCUUGGCCUAGUAGCUCCUCAGAUAACAAGAAUUAUGAUAUUUCUAUCUCAUCUUUGAGUGCAGUGAGGAGUAGCAGAGCGAGUCUACUCUUGAAAGAUAAGGCUACUGGGUAGGACUGGUGAGUUGAUGCCCUUUUGCCUGAGGGCACUCCCCAGUCUGUGGUUGGUGGGGAGCAGAAUACCCAACUAUUGCUGCCUAGAUGGGUUACAUAACUUCAGUGGACAGUGAAAAUACUCUGUCCCAGGUUGACAAUAGGAAUCUCCAGGAGUUCCCACUGUGUCUCAGCGGUAACAAGCCUGACUAGUAUCCAUGAGGAUGCGGGUUGGAUCCCUGGCCUCAAUCAGUGGGUUUAAGGAUCCAGUGUUGCUGCAAGCUGCAGUGCAGGUCAAAGAUGCAGCUCAGAUCUAUGUUGCUGUGGUGUAGGCUGGCAGCUUGCAGCUCCUAUUUGACCUCUAACCUGGGAACUUCCAUAUGCCAUAGAUGCAGCUGUAAAAAGAAAAUUAAAAGAAUAAGUGUAGGCAGUGUUGUCUCCUAGGAGUUGGACCACAGGUAAUUUUAGUUUUCUGCUCUUUUCCUGUUUUCUUUCCCCAGAGAACAUACACAGAUAGCCUCGUCAUUCUGUUGCUGUCUUUCCUGGAAUCCUUGCAUGUGGUCCAUGGCUGGUUCAGUCCAAAGUGGGUGAGGGGGCCUUUGCUUGGCUUGUGGCUCCAUCAGUGCAGAAAACGGCCUAGAGGUGAAACUCAGACGCAGGGGAUGUGCAGUUGUUCCCACCCCCCUGCCCGGGCUCCAGGGAGCUGAGAGAUUGGGGCAGUGGGUGGCUAUACCCAAGAUGGGCAGCAUGGUUUGCUGAAAUUCCAGUAGAAGUAUAGAGAUAUCUCUAAAAAUUGCAUUUUAUGUCUAGAUUCUUUUAAUAUCUGUUUUUGUGUGUAUGUUUCAUAAUCAUGAUGUGUUCAUACAAUUGAUAAUAUAUGCACGUGUUAGGUCUUAUUUUUAUUUAUUUAUUUUGGCUGCACGCAUGGCAUAUGGAAGUUCCCUGGCAAGGAAUCGAAUCCAAGCCGCAGCUGUGACCUAUACUGCAGCUGCGGCAAUGCCAGGUCCAUAAUCCACUGCACAACAGUGGGAACUCCUCAUGUUAGGUUUUAGAUUGAAAUAUUUUUUUCACUGAUAGGAUAAAUAACAGAGUCAGAGAACCCUGAUUUAGAAGGUGUUUGGCAGCUCUGCUGUUUGGGGGUCUCCUUCACAAGGCACCUUGGGCUUCCCAGGCUGGACGGGGCUCUGGUCCAUGAGCUGAAAAUGCCUCUAGUUCUGGUCACUGAACAACUAGCCUGAGCCAGACUGGUUCUCACGGCUAAGGUCAAAUUGAGGUCAUGAAGACCAUCCCCAACCUGGCAAAGGUCGGAUGGACAUUAGGGCAUCUUUUGCCCUACAUUCACCUAAACCUAUACCUUCAAUAGCUUGUGUGUAUCUUACAAGUGGUUUUGGCUUCCCCUUAAAAACUUGAAUGUAGCCAGAUUAAUUUCUGAUUAUAAUGCCAUGGAUAUUUCUUAUGCAAAACAGCCUUCAUAAAAAGAAAAAAAAAAUAGUGCCCCAAAUGGUUCAACAGUCUUCUGCAUUUGGGUAAUGAGUGGAAAAAGUGAGGCCUGAAAGGUGAAAUCAUUAAUAUCAAAUGGCACACACAGAAAUGGACUUAUAUUUUUGGUAUUCUUUAUAUUUGAAAGUAAACUGUCUCUAAUUUAUGAAAAGCAGCUUUUUUUCUGCCAGUCUCACAUAUAUACACUGCGUCUUAUCCAUUCCUCCGUCACUGGGCAUUAAGGUUGUUUCCAUGUUUUGGCUGCUGUGCACAUGGUGUCUGAACAGUGGUUUUCUAGUCCUAAUCACUAACUCAGCAAUACAUUCUGCACCCCCACCCCCCGUGGUAAGAAUCACCUCUGAAUGCAUUCAAACAUGUCAGCAUGCUCACUUCCAUAGUCUGCUUCUCUCUGGAUAGGUUGCUCCCUCAGCGAGAAAUAUUCUCAUUCCAGGUAUUAUUUUCACCUCUUUUCUUGUGAUCUUUUCCUCCCUAUUUUAUUACAUAAAUUUGGGGGAAAAAAAUUCAGUUACAACAUACAUGGUUUCUCUUAAUGAUUCUUAUGUUUUCCUUAGACAAUGUUGCAAGAAGCAGUAUUAAGGUUGGAAUGAAUUAGCUUGGAAAAAAAUAGGCUAUUUUUUUGUUCUUUUGUCUUUUCAGGGCCACACCCAUGGCAUAUGGAAGUUCCCAGACCAGGGGUCAAAUCGGAGCUGUAGCUUCUGGCCUACGCUACAGCCACAGCAAUGUGGGAUCCAAAUUGCAUCUGCGACCUACACCACAGCUCACGGCCAUGCCAGAUCCUUAAGCCACUGAGCAAGGCCAGGGAUUGAACCCAAAACCUCAGGGUUCCUAGUUGGAUUCGUUUCCUUUGUGCCACAAUGGGAACUCAAAAAUAGGCUGUUUUAAAGAGCAGUUUUUGGUUCAUAGCGAGAUGCCUGGCCUCCCCCGUUAAAGACGACCCCCCCCACCAGAGCAAUGAGCUUCUUACAGUCCGUGAACAUGGACAUGCCCUUUUCAUCCAGAGUCCAUAGUUUACAUCAGGGUUCAUGCUUGGUCGUGUACUUUCUGGGGGUUUGGAUGGAUGUAUCAUGGCACGUAUCCAUCAUUAAUUUUUGUGCAGAAGAGUUUCACUGUCCUAAAAAUCCUCUGUGCCUGCCUUUUCAUCUUUCUUUUCCUCCAACCCCUGACAACCACUGAUCUUUUUACAGACUCUGCCCUAAAUUUGCCUUUUCCAGAAGGUCAGGGGUUGCAAUUGUAUACUAUGUGUCCUUUUCAGAUUGGCUUCUUUUUCAGUAACUGGCUUCUUUUUCAGUAACGUGCAUUUAAGACUCCUCCCUGUCUUUUCAUGAGUUGACAGCUUGUAUCUUUUUAGCUCCAAGUAAUAUUCCAUUGUCUGGAUGGACCAUAGUUUAUUUAUCCACUCAUCUACUGAAGGACAUCUGGGUUUCCAGGUUUUGAAUAAACCUGCUGUACACGUCCAUGUGCAGGUUUUUGUGUGGACCGAAGCUUUCUUUUCCUUUGGGUAAAUGCCAAGGAGCAGGGUUGCUGGAUAGUACUGUAUCACCUUUCUUUUAUGUAGAAUUCCCUAUUUUCUGGUGGUUACAGAUUUCUCUUUCUGACUUCGUGUUUUGUAGUAAACGUCCACUGCUAGCUUCUUGAAAAAGGUACACUGGGAAUGAAUUUUCUGAGAGCUCACAUAUCUCAAAAUGCCUCCGCCACUAUGCUUAUUUGCUACUUUGGCUGGAUAUAUGAUUCUGUAUUAGAAAUAUUUUUCUCUUACAGUUUGUAAGGGAUUGGUUGACAUUAGCUUCCAGUAUGUUGGAAAUUAACUCUGUGCUCAGGUUGUCGAUGUCGGAAAGUGAGACACGUUGGACAAGGAGAAAUCUCAACAAGGCUCUUUACUUCUGCAGAAGGGCACGGGCUCUCCAAAAAGUGUGCACGCCGAACAAAGGACCCUCGCCUAUUUAUCCCUAACGCAGGUGAUGUUCCUGUCCCCUUCCCAUGGUCAGGGUACACAUUCUUCCUGGUUGGCUAAUCUGAAACACAUUGUUACUGGGAGAAGAGGGGAAGGGGAGGGGUGGGGGUCGCAGGAAGGCGAAACUGGAGCAAAAUAGAGUAACCGAGGUUUCCUUUGAUAGAAAAGACAUUGUGUUACUUUCCACAAGUCCCCCCUUUCAUUUUUUAUCAAAUAUUCUUUUCUUCAAACUCUUUGAGCAUGGUUUGGCUUUCAUGUUCUAUUGUGUCCAUCAGGAGAGUAUAUUGGCUUGGUGGGGAGGGGGGGUCCCAAUUGCUUUGUUAGGACAGUUUCUAUUAAUUUUUGAGUAAGUCCCCUGGCACAAGGAAUCAUAUAACAUUUACUAAGACACGGACACUAACUACAGCAAUUUGAGGGGUAAAGAUUUAGUCCAUUUCUUUUCUUUUCUUUCUUUCUUUUAACCCAAUUUUCUAAAAGAUCUGUGAAGGGGUCAUUAAUACCAGAAUUCUCUGAAAGCUCAUCUGCUAAGGUUAUUAAUAUGCAUGGGGCCUUGGUGAUGGUGCUGUCUGGGGCAGUGUUGUUGGGAUGAAUGGGCAGCACUGGAUAUCAAUCAUUACGUAGACUCCACCCUUUCCUGCUAGGGUCAUGUCUAAAGCAAGUCUAUCUUCCCAUGCCAUUUGACUAGUUGGCCCUAGCUGUUCAGCUAUGUCUUUAAUGGCGUCUCUAGUGUAAUUAAUGAAUCUUUGUUGAUUGUAAAAGAUGUAGUUUAUCCAAUCGACAUUUUUGUUUAUGGUUGACCACCAAAAGAGAGCAGAUUCAAACACAGCAGCUACCUGAUUUCUUGUCUUAAAUUUGUUUGGAACACCUAUUGUGUCAAUAUAGACCUGGGGGUCAAAGGACCACCACCCUCCGUGGGGGUGAUAUCUUGUUUCCUCAGGAUUGCCUGAGUUGAGAUUGGAGCCUAAAUGCCAGGGUGAAAGGGAUGGCCAAUUGCACCAAAGUACGGGUGUCACUUUGAUAUUCCAGAAGGAUGCCCAUUAGUGGACUCCCACAAUACCAGCGGACAUCUGCCUGGGGCACUUGGAACUGGGAUUUAUUGUGGGAGUGAUGUAGGACCGGCUUUCACUGCACCUGGUCAGGUUGCCUAAGAAAGUUGCUUUUGCCUCUUGUCAUUUUAGACCCAAGGAGAAGUUGACAUUUUCUUUGGCUGCUGAAGAGUUCUUGGGGGCUGACCCGCAGAACUUUUGACCUCAGGGAAUAGCAGUGACAAAGUCCGACUGGACUCAUCAUUUCAAGCCGUUUUGUCCUGGAAGAGGGCCACCACACAUUCAAGACCCUGUGGGUCUGAUGACCACCCCAAAGGAAAGGGAACCACUUGGGCCUCCAAUCUCUCCCUGUGGCACAAGCAUAAAAGCUAUUUUUGUCUAGUGUAUCUACAGAAUAUUUUAUCCAUUUUGCCCAGGCAUUUGUGUCCCCAUAUCCUGUUUUUAUACUCACAGUCAGCCUUCCUGUAAAGGUGAGGGUUUUUUUUGUUUGUUUGUUUCCUCCAGUUAAUAGGGCAGUGGCGGCUACCAACUGUAUAUACUCAGCCAUCCUCUGGUGACAGGGUCCAGGAGGCAGGAAAGGAAGGGCACCAGCUGGUGGCUUUCCCUGUGUUUCUGUGUGAGAACCCCUGGAGCCAUCUCCCAGCCCAUGCUUACAUCCCAGCCCAUGCUUAUGAAUAAAUGAAAAGGUUUUUUACAAGGAUGGUAGAGCCAGAAGAGGGGCACCUGUCAGUGCCUCUCUUAAAUCCCUAAAUUGUUGUACCUCCUCCUGGCUCCAUUGUGAGGGACUGGGGUCUGCCUCUACAAGCUUGGAAAUAGUCUUUUUAUAUUAUGUCCUUUUUAGUAUACAUAGUCCUCUCGUAGGUUUUGGGGCAUCUGAUUUUUAUCUAAAAAUAGAUUACUGAGAGAAACUUUAGAAACAAGCUUAGAAUGUUCUUUUAGAAGCUCACUUAAACUUUGCAGCCACAUAACAUAAUAGCAAAGAUCUAGGAAGUAAGUCUUAGUGAUAGUGACCACAAUUAAAAGAACGAGAUUAACAGAUUUAGCAAGUUUUCAUUGAAGCAUCUCUUUCUCUCUAAAAUUGCUUUUAUUUUUAUCAAAUAUUAGCCAAACCAAGACUAAUUUAUUUGCCAAUUAGUUCUGGUGUCAACAACCUUGGUGUAAUGAUUUAUGU